GGUCGCUAGGAUCCCUUCGGGGUGACUUUGAUGCUGACGAGCGGCGGACGGGUGAGUAACGCGUAGGAAUCUACCCAGUAGCGGGGGAUAGCCCGGGGAAACCCGGAUUAAUACCGCAUACGCCCUACGGGGGAAAGGGGGGGCUCUCUUCGGAGACCUCUCACUAUUGGAGGAGCCUGCGUUGGAUUAGCUUGUUGGUGAGGUAAAGGCUCACCAAGGCGACGAUCCAUAGCUGGUCUGAGAGGACGAUCAGCCACACUGGAACUGAGACACGGUCCAGACUCCUACGGGAGGCAGCAGUCGGGAAUAUUGUGCAAUGGGCGAAAGCCUGACACAGCCAUGCCGCGUGUGAAGAAGGCCUUAGGGUUGUAAAGCACUUUCAGUAAGGAAGAAAAAGCCGAGCCAAUAACUCGGUAAUAUGACAUUACUUACAGAAGAAGCACCGGCUAACUCCGUGCCAGCAGCCGCGGUAAUACGGAGGGUGCAAACGUUAAUCGGAAUUACUGGGCGUAAAGCGCGCGUAGGCGGUUCGGUAA
rnacentral:rRNA from 1 species